rnacentral:lncRNA from 1 species
GGAAGCGUUGGGAAAUCGAAGGAGGCAUGCGAUGCAUGAGAAAGACUUUCACUUCUGUUCCCUCUUCCUGGCUCCCCGGACCAAACAUGCACCCCCUUUCCUGUGUUCUCCCUGCCGUCCGCCUGGCCUCACCCUGUCCGCGGUAGGUAAGACUCAAAACAGCCUCUGCCUGCGGCAGAAUUCGACCUCCUCUCGGUUGCAUAUCAGCCGUGCACGUGUUACUUGCAUUAGCAGACGGCAGGGGAGCAAAUGCGGCGGUGAAAUGCGGGCAGAUGUGAGCUCAUGUCUCUUCCAGGCCUUUUCUCUUCCAGAUGAGAAGACGGAAGCCCAGAAAGGCACACUGAUUCUCCAACAUCACACAGCUAAACAGCAGCUCUCUGAUCUCCUUGAGCCCACCAGGCAGCCCUCUGAUGCGUUAAAAGGACACAGCCUGGAGAAGGAUGCACCCCAAAUAACGAUCAGGGCAUGUGGAAAUUCCCAGUCCAAGCAACUCAAGCUGCUGCAGGGACAAUGCCAGAUCCUUAACCCUCUGCACCACAAGGGAACUCCUUAAAUUUCUUAAAAUAAGCAGGAAAAACUUCUAUACGUAAAUUCUUUUUUUUUUCUUUUUUUGCUUUUUAGGGCCACACCCGAGGCAUGUGGAGGUUCCCAGGCUAGGGGUCCAAUUGGAGCUACAGCUGCUGGCCCACACCACAGCCACAGCAAUGUCACAUCCAAGCCACGUCUGCAACCUACACCACAGCUCACAGCAAUGCCUGAUCCUUAACCCACUGAGCAAGGCCAGGGCUCGUACCUGUGUCCUCAUGCUAGUCAGAUUAGUUUCCACUGAGCCACAACGAGAACACCAGCCUGUAACAGCUUUGACCACCGUUUAUGUCCCAGUGGGUUUAACAGUAUCUGGAUACAGUAAAUGCUCGGUUAUAUAAGAUGAGAUACAUAAUGAAAGAAUCACUGGUAUAUGUACCAUUUUAUGUGAGCUAAGAUGGAGAACUUUUUAUUUACCAGAAUUGCACAGUAUUUGGUGUGUGUAGGGGGGCUGCUGUUGAACUACUUGAAGUGAGGUGUUCCUGUUGUGGCACAGUGGAAACAAAUCCAACUAGUAUCCAUGAGGAUGUGGGUUCGAUCCCUGGCCUUGCUCAGUUAAAAAGAAAAAAAAAAAUCUUCUUGGGGAAAUAACAAUUAAAAAAAAAGAAAAAAAUUUUUUUUAAUUCUUGGCGUUCCCCAGUGGCACAGCAGGUUAAGUAUCAAGUGUUGUCACUGCAGUGGCUUGGGUUGCUGCUGUGGUGUGAGUUUAGUCCCUGGCUUGGGAACUUCCAUAUGCCACAGGUGUCGCCAAAAAAAAAUAAUAAUAAUUAAUAGUAAAAAAUGAAUUAAAAAAACUUCUUGAAAAAAAUCAGACUUUAUUUUUUGGUGGCAUGCAGAAUUUCCUGGGUCAGGGAUCGAACCCAUGCCACAUCAGUGACCUGAGCCACAGCAGUGACAAUUGCCAUAUCCUUAACUACUAGGCCACCAGGGAACACUGAAAAAUGAGACUUUAAAGCCAUAUCUGAUCU